GGAAGCUAAGUAGCUUCGCAGUGGCAUUUUCGUUGUUUUGGCGGCGGCCAGGAGCAGCCGAAAACCCUUACUGGAUCUUCCGCCACGCGAGCUGUUUCGCUAAUGGACUACGCCACUCUACCCGCGUCGAUCUCUCUUCUCUUCUCGCAAUGGUUGUAAUGCUGGAUCAUAUCAAUCGCUUUAUCGAGCUUUUCUUCUGAUGAAAAGCUGCUCUGAUGAAAUCGUUCUCCGCCUCUUCCCUUUGCGGGAUUCCGAGAAGAAGCUGUCGAACCCGAUGAGGGAGAUCAAGGUCCAGAAGCUCGUCCUCAACAUCUCCGUUGCCGAGAGUGGCGAUCGUCUCACGAGGGCCGCUAAGGUUUUGGAGCAGCUAAGUGGACAGACACCAGUGUUCUCAAAGGGCGUAAUGAGAAGAUCGCGUGCUAUGUAACAGUAAGAGGUGACAAGGCAAUGCAACUUCUAGAAAGUAGACUAAAAGUUAAGGAAUACGAGCUGUCAAGGAGAAACUUCAGUGACACUGGUUGCUUUGGAUUUGGCAUACAAGAGCAUAUUGAUCUUGGAAUUAAGUAAGCAGUUUUUUUAGUUGUCAUUGUUAAUUUUCCUUUCAAAACCAUAGAUAUACACUAGAAGAAUCUGAACUUGUGUGUCUAUAUUUAUUUGUUGUGUGUCAUCUUUGUUAGAAUUUAACCUUUAAGUUGAUUAAGCUUACCUUUGGGGU